AGGGCCGGACUCAUAUUAUAAGAAGUUUUAUUCAGUCUUCAACUCUGCAUUGCCACCUUCCCUCUUCUUCUCUUCCUUCAACCAGCAUUUACGGAGUACGGAGUGCUUGUUUGGAAAUCCCCGUGAAACCUCCUUUCUUAUAAUCAGAUUAUGGCCUCAACAACCAUGGACUCUAACACAAACGAUGGCAGAGAUAGGUUGAGUGAAUUACCUGAUGAAAUUUUGGUGCACAUCCUAUCUUUUCUGCCCAUUUUAGAUGCUAUUAGAACCGUUUUGAUUCGCAGACUUGAUAAUCUGUGGACUUUGCUUCCCUCUCUUAAUUUUAAUGACACUGAAUAUUUUAAACCAGAAAACUGGCAUACUGGAGAGAUAGAUUACGGGGAAGAAAUUCCUCAUUUUGCUAGAUUUAUGCGCAAUGUGCUAAUGUUUCACAAAAGGGUUUCCAUUGAUAAAUUCCUGCUUCAUUUCUGUAAUAUUGAUAUGCGUGAAGAUGAGUCAUCAAUCACAGAUAUAAAAUCAUGGAUAAGAUUUGCGAUUGAUAGGAAAGUCAAGGAACUAAAUGUUCAUUUUGGAUAUAUAGUUUUUGAUUCUAUUUUGCCUUGUUGUAUUUUCACAAGUCAGUUUCUUGUAAAACUGGAACUUCUUGGUUGUAAAAUCGAGCAGCUCAGCCAAGUACAAAUGAGAUCACUUAAAAUAUUAUCGCUUAAAUAUGUUGAAGUGGAGAAUAAGGUGUUGAAUAAGAUUAUAUCCGGUUGCUCGUCAUUGCAAGUGUUGGCUCUAGCGGAGAUAUAUGAAUUGGAGAAGCUGCGCUUUUCUGUUCCCAGCAUUGAGAAGUUAUAUAUAACUUUUGACAGUGAUUUAUUGCUUGAUUGCCCCAACGUAAAGAUUUUGAAUAUCCUUUUCUCCUCCAUGCCACGUCUACAAGUGGUUGAUGUUUCAUCUCUUCGCGAAGUCAGCAUUUGGUCUUGCGAUGGCAUUGACGAGAUUGAUGAAUUAUUUAAGAGGUUUUGCAAUGUUGAGGUUAUCAAAUUUUAUGAUGAAAGUUUUCAGCAAUUAAUAUUUCAGGAGCAAUAUUUCCCACAAACUAGAUGGAAGCGUUUACAUAUUGAGUCAUGGGCUAAAGAAGAUCUUCUCUUUGGCUUUUGUAUAGUUUUGAGAAAUUCGCCUCACUUGGAAGAACUCAUAAUAAUAUGCAAUGCUCCAGGGAGAGAUUUGGGUGUGACAAAUGACUUCAAUGUACUCUCUUCUUGUGUAAUGCCACAACUCAAAACUGUCAUCAUCCGGGGAUACAAGGUACCUUGUCAAGGGCUGCUUCAACUUGCAGAAUUUUUGCUUAAAAGUUCUGUCAACAUGGAAAAGAUGGUAAUUUUGCCCAGUAUGUAUGAACCAGUAGUAGCAGAGGAGUUUAAGUUUGUAAAGCAAUUAUUAAGCUUUCCAAGGGCCUCAUCAAAUGCAAGGGUAAUCUUCGGUUCGGAAGUAUACUAGGGGCAGUUGCACAAUGUCACCUCAAUUUUUCUCUCGGCGUUCAUACCGGCCUAACCGGCGCCGGUUGCUAGGGAUGGCAAAGUUAAAUGAAACCAAACUCCUCAACACCCACACAACCCAAUCACAAAAAGAGAGGUUCCUCGGCCGACACAUAGGCGUGAUACCUCUGAAACUAUUUUUGCACUUGUCUACGCGGUUGAUGAAAUGCAAACUAUUCCACGCAAGAAGACUUCCCUCAACCGACUAUGUGUCACACAAACGUCAGCUCCUCGACCGAGGAUAAGGAGUUCCUCGACCAAGGGCAUGUUCGAUAUUCUCCAAUCAAGGCCAUAGGGUUCCUCGACAUGUGCAAGAAGAAGCCCCUCGACCAGUUAUUUUGUCGCGCAAUAGCAAGCUCCUCGGUCGAGGAUAAGGAGUUCCUCGACCAAAGACGUACCGGACACUCCUUAACCGAGGCCAUAGAGUGCCUCGGCCAAGGAAACUCUCCGCCGACACUUGGGGCUAUAGCAUGUUCCUCGACAUGGGAAGAAUGUAUAUCCCUCUGCAGCUCACAAAUCUCCAUUGUUAGAUGAAGGCCGGUCGAAUUAGAAUCUACGCGACACAUCCGACAACACUCCGCCCAAUGAGGAGGUUCCUCGACGAACACAGGGUAUAUCCCUCGAUUCCAAGAAAGGGGUAGUUCCUCGACAUUGGCAUAAACGAAGAAGGGAAACAAAUUCUGCCUCGUCUAGAAUUCGCUCAACACACGACAUACCGAAGAUGUUAUUUCCUAUGUCAAGCGUGGGGCUAAUUGUUUGGGCCCAUACACAUGGUCAGCCUAACUCGAUGCAAAAAGACGAAAAUGCCCUUAUGUCCCUGGAAUUCAGAAAGACAGUUGUUCAUUAGAAUUAGACGUAAUUACGGAAUUACCCCAGUGUAAUCAUAUAAAUACUCUGAUGUAAUCAUUUAAAAAGGCUGUCUAAUCAUUACCUAAAGAUGCAAAUUAGUUACUCUCUCUCUAGUCCUUCUCUCUUAAUAAUCACUUAUCUAAUUUAAGCAUGAUACGAAGGUUCCUCGGACAUAUUCAGGGACCGUCUAAAACGAUAAUACAGGUGGUCGGUUAUAAGGAGAUUACGGUCAAAUACGUCAUCGGUUAAGCUAAUUCCCAGAACAUUAUAUUUACAGUUUCUCAGGCAGAAACAGUUGUCUUUCGCAAAAAAAAAGUUACAUUAAGGAUGACUACACUAUGCUCGAUCUAGACCUUUACACACCAUGUUUGAUGCCACGGCUUAAAACGGUCACCAUCAUCUACGCCUACAACGGACAUUGUCAAGGUCUGAUUCGACUAGCAGAGUUUCUGCUCAAACAUGCUGUGAAUUUGGACAAGAUGGUCAUUUUUCCUAGUACGUAUAAUGUAGUUGCAGAUCUGGACAUUGAGUUUGUGGAGCUAUUAUCAAGCUUUUCGAAGGCCUCAACUAAUGCAAAGGUGGUGCAUGGCUCAAGUAAUUCAAUAGCACAUUAUUAGCACAUCAAUUCUGAAUUUGGUAUUUAGUUUCUUAAGAUGAAAAUUAUGGAGUAAUAAUGUUAUUUAAGUGAUUUAAUUAACAGGGUGAUUAGGUUGAGGUGAAAGUACGUUUAAUGAACUACUAAUAAAUACUUCCUCCGUCACUAAAAGAUUGCCCUUAUUUUCUUUUUGGUCUGUCUUUUUAAGUUUAUGUUUCCUCUCAUAUUGUAUUAUUUAAAUUAGCAAAUGACAAAACUACCAAUCCACUUGCUUUCCUUUUGCUUUCUUUCUUAAUAAAGUGAAAAGUGUUAUUUUACACAACCUUUUAGAGACGGAGGAAGUAGGUGUUUUCAAGGCUAUUCAAAUAUAAAUAGAAGUAUAUAAACAAGAA